rnacentral:rRNA from 1 species
UGGGGAAUCUUGCGCAAUGGGCGAAAGCCUGACGCAGCGACGCCGCGUGGGUGAUGAAGGCCUUCGGGUCGUAAAGCCCUGUCAAGGGGGAAGAAUGUACGGUAGCUAACUCUGCCGUAGUGACGGUACCCCUGAAGGAAGCACUGGCUAACCCCGUGCCAGCAGCCGCGGUAAUACGGGGAGUGCGAGCGUUGUUCGGAAUUACUGGGCGUAAAGCGCAUGUAGGUGGCUUGACAAGUCUGGAGUGAAAGCCCUCGGCUCAACUGAGGAAGUGCUUUGGAAACUGUCGAGCUUGAAUCCUGGAGGGGCCGGUGGAAUUCCCAGUGUAGAGGUGAAAUUCGUAGAUAUUGGGAGGAACACCAGUGGCGAAGGCGGCCGGCUGGACAGUGAUUGACGCUGAGAUGCGAAAGCGUGGGUAGCAAACAG